rnacentral:rRNA from 1 species
GACGAACGCUGGCGGCGUGCCUAACACAUGCAAGUCGAACGGUGUAGAGAGCUUCGGUUUUCUACUUAGUGGCGAACGGGUGAGUAACGCGUGAGAAACCUGCCUUUCAGUGGGGGACAACAGUUGGAAACGACUGCUAAUACCGCAUAAUGUAUUCGGGGGGCAUCCCCUGAAUACCAAAGCUUUAUGUGCUGAAAGAUGGUCUCGCGUCUGAUUAGCUAGAUGGCGGGGUAACGGCCCACCAUGGCGACGAUCAGUAGCCGGUCUGAGAGGAUGAACGGUCACAUUGGGACUGAGAUACGGCCCAGACUCCUACGGGAGGCAGCAGUGGGGAAUAUUGGGCAAUGGGGGAAACCCUGACCCAGCAACGCCGCGUGAAGGAAGAAGGCCUUCGGGUUGUAAACUUCUUUUAGCAGGGACGAAGAACGUGACGGUACCUGGAGAAUAAGCCCCGGCUAACUUCGUGCCAGCAGCCGCCGUAAAAC